rnacentral:rRNA from 1 species
UGGGGAAUAUUGGACAAUGGGUGAGAGCCUGAUCCAGCCAUGCCGCGUGCAGGAAGAAGGCGUUAUGCGUUGUAAACUGCUUUUGCCAGGGGAUAAAAAGACCGUGCGCGGUUAAUUGAAGGUACCUGGUGAAUAAGCCACGGCUAACUACGUGCCAGCAGCCGCGGUAAUACGUAGGUGGCAAGCGUUGUCCGGAUUUAUUGGGUUUAAAGGGUGCGUAGGUGGCCCUGUAAGUCAGUGGUGAAAUACCUCAGCUUAACUGAGAGGGUGCCAUUGAUACUGCAGGGCUUGAGUACAGAUGAGGUAGGCGGAAUUGACGGUGUAGCGGUGAAAUGCAUAGAUAUCGUCAAGAACACCGAUAGCGAAGGCAGCUUACCAAGCUGUAACUGACACUGAGGCACGAAAGUGUGGGGAUCAAACAGGAUUAGAUACCCCAGUAGUCCCUGAGCGGGCUGGCAAGGCGCAU